GACGAACGCUGGCGGCGUGCUUAACACAUGCAAGUCGAACGGGUCUGCCCUGUUUUUUGCGGGGUGGGUCAGUGGCGAACGGGUGAGUAACACGUGAGUAACCUGCCCCUCACUUCUGGAUAACCGCUUGAAAGGGUGGCUAAUACGGGGUGUUCUGGCUGUGCCGCAUGGUGUGGCUGGGAAAGAUUCACUUUUGUGGUGUUUUGGUGGGGAUGGGCUCGCGGCCUAUCAGCUUGUUGGUGGGGUGAUGGCCUGCCAAGGCUUUGACGGGUAGCCGGCCUGAGAGGGUGGGCGGUCACACUGGGACUGAGAUACGGCCCAGACUCCUGCGGGAGGCAGCAGUGGGGGGUAUUGCACAAUGGGCGGAAGCCUGAUGCAGCGACGUCGCGUGAGGGAUGGAGGCCUUCGGGUUGUGAACCUCUUUCGCCGGUGAAGAAGGUCCUGCUCUUUGUGGUGGGGUUGACGGUAGCCGGGUUAUGAAGCGCCGGCUAACUACGUG
rnacentral:rRNA from 1 species